rnacentral:rRNA from 1 species
AGCGAACGCUGGCGGCAGGCCUAACACAUGCAAGUCGAACGGACCCUUCGGGGUUAGUGGCGGACGGGUGAGUAACACGUGGGAACGUGCCUUUAGGUUCGGAAUAGCUCCUGGAAACGGGUGGUAAUGCCGAAUGUGCCCUUCGGGGGAAAGAUUUAUCGCCUUUAGAGCGGCCCGCGUCUGAUUAGCUAGUUGGUGAGGUAAUGGCUCACCAAGGCGACGAUCAGUAGCUGGUCUGAGAGGAUGACCAGCCACAUUGGGACUGAGACACGGCCCAAACUCCUACGGGAGGCAGCAGUGGGGAAUCUUGCGCAAUGGGCGAAAGCCUGACGCAGCCAUGCCGCGUGAAUGAUGAAGGUCUUAGGAUUGUAAAAUUCUUUCACCGGGGACGA